rnacentral:misc_RNA from 1 species
AGGGCACCAGCAUGGCGGCG